UACGUAGGGUGCAAGCGUUAAUCGGAAUUACUGGGCGUAAAGCGUGCGCAGGCGGUUGUGCAAGACCGAUGUGAAAUCCCCGGGCUUAACCUGGGAAUGGCAUUGGUGACUGCACGGCUAGAGUGUGUCAGAGGGGGGUAGAAUUCCACGUGUAGCAGUGAAAUGCGUAGAGAUGUGGAGGAAUACCGAAUGGCGAAGGCAGCCCCC
rnacentral:rRNA from 1 species